AAUAGAUACCUGGGUAGUCCACGCCGUAAACGAUGAGUGCUAAGUGUUAGGGGGUUUCCGCCCCUUAGUGCUGCAGCUAACGCAUUAAGCACUCCGCCUGGGGAGUACGGUCGCAAGACUGAAACUCAAAGGAAUUGACGGGGGCCCGCACAAGCGGUGGAGCAUGUGGUUUAAUUCGAAGCAACGCGAAGAACCUUACCAGGUCUUGACAUCCCAUUGACCACUAUGGAGACAUAGUUUUCCCUUCGGGGACAACGGUGACAGGUGGUGCAUGGUUGUCGUCAGCUCGUGUCGUGAGAUGUUGGGUUAAGUCCCGCAACGAGCGCAACCCUUGUUCUUAGUUGCCAUCAUUUAGUUGGGCACUCUAAGGAGACUGCCGGUGACAAACCGGAGGAAGGUGGGGAUGACGUCAAAUCAUCAUGCCCCUUAUGACCUGGGCUACACACGUGCUACAAUGGACGGUACAAACGGUUGCCAACCCGCGAGGGGGAGCUAAUCCGAUAAAACCGUUCUCAGUUCGGAUUGUAGGCUGCAACUCGCCUACA
rnacentral:rRNA from 1 species